GAUGAAGAACGCAGCGAAAUGCGAUAAGUAAUGUGAAUUGCAGAAUUCAGUGAAUCAUCGAAUCUUUGAACGCCCCUUGCACCCUUUGGCAUUCCGAAGGGUAUGCUCGUUUGAGUGUCAUUGUACUCUCACACUUCCGAUCUUUGGAUUGGGAGCGGUGGACUUGGGUGUUGCUGCUUACUGUGGCUCACCUCAAAUCGAUUCGUGCACCUCUUGGUUGGACAUAGUACGGCGUGAUAAGUGUCUUCGCCGGCACCUCAGUAGAGGGUGGCUGAUCGGGAGCUCUGCUUCAAACCGUCCUCGGACAACAACUGACAACUUGACCUCAAAUCGAGUAGGACUACCCGCUGAACUUAAGCAUAUCAAUAGCGGAGGA
rnacentral:misc_RNA from 1 species